GACGAACGCUGGCGGCGUGCUUAACACAUGCAAGUCGAACGGAAAGGCCCUGCUUUUGUGGGGUGCUCGAGUGGCGAACGGGUGAGUAACACGUGAGUAACCUGCCCUGCACGUUGGGAUAACUUCAGGAAACGGGGGCUAAUACCGGAUAGGAGCUCCUGCUGCAAGGGGGGGGUUGGAAAGUUUCGGCGGUUGGGGAUGGACUCGCGGCUUAUCAGCUGGUUGGUUGGGUAGUGGCUUACCAAGGCGUUGACGGGUAGCCGGCCUGAGAGGGUGACCGGCCACAUUGGGACUGAGAUACGGCCCAGACUCCUACGGGAGGAGGCAGUGGGGAAUAUUGGACAAUGGGCGGAAGCCUGAUGCAGCAAUGUCGCGUGGGGGAUGACGGCCUUCGGGUUGUAACAAGCUUUCGACUGUGACGAAGAGUAAGAGAGGGUAAGGGGUAAAGAAGCACGGGAGAACCACG
rnacentral:rRNA from 1 species